GAGUACAACUCUGAGC
rnacentral:rRNA from 1 species